rnacentral:rRNA from 1 species
GUGGAUUAGUGGCGAACGGGUGAGUAACACGUGGGCAAUCUGCCCUGCACUCUGGGACAAGCCCUGGAAACGGGGUCUAAUACCGGAUAUGACCAUCUUGGGCAUCCUUGAUGGUGUAAAGCUCCGGCGGUGCAGGAUGAGCCCGCGGCCUAUCAGCUUGUUGGUGAGGUAAUGGCUCACCAAGGCGACGACGGGUAGCCGGCCUGAGAGGGCGACCGGCCACACUGGGACUGAGACACGGCCCAGACUCCUACGGGAGGCAGCAGUGGGGAAUAUUGCACAAUGGGCGAAAGCCUGAUGCAGCGACGCCGCGUGAGGGAUGACGGCCUUCGGGUUGUAAACCUCUUUCAGCAGGGAAGAAGCGAAAGUGACGGUACCUGCAGAAGAAGCGCCGGCUAACUACGUGCCAGCAGCCGCGGUAAUACGUAGGGCGCAAGCGUUGUCCGGAAUUAUUGGGCGUAAAGAGCUCGUAGGCGGCUUGUCACGUCGGUUGUGAAAGCCCGGGGCUUAACCCCGGGUCUGCAGUCGAUACGGGCAGGCUAGAGUUCGGUAGGGGAGAUCGGAAUUCCUGGUGUAGCGGUGAAAUGCGCAGAUAUCAGGAGGAACACCGGUGGCGAAGGCGGAUCUCUGGGCCGAUACUGACGCUGAGGA